rnacentral:rRNA from 1 species
CGCAGGCGGGCUUGUAAGUCAGUGGUGAAAUACUGCCGCUUAACGGUAGAAUUGCCAUUGAUACUGCGAGUCUUGAGUAUGGUUGAGGUAGGCGGAAUGUGCAGUGUAGCGGUGAAAUGCAUAGAGAUUGCACAGAACACCGAUUGCGGAGGCAGCUUACUAAGCCAUAACUGACGCUGAGGCACGAAAGCGUGGGGAGCGAACAGGAUUAGAUACCCUGGUAGUCCACGCUGUAAACGAUGUUCACUCGCUGUUUGCGAUACACAGUAAGCGGCUUAGCGAAAGCAUUAAGUGAACCACCUGGGGAGUACGAUCGCAAGGUUGAAACUCAAAGGAAUUGACGGGGGCCCGCACAAGCGGAGGAACAUGUGGUUUAAUUCGAUGAUACGCGAGGAACCUUACCUGGGCUUAAAUGUAGGCUGCAUUUCCGGGAAACCGGGAUUCCCUUCGGGGCUGCUUACAAGGUGCUGCAUGGUUGUCGUCAGCUCGUGCCGUGAGGUGUCGGGUUAAGUCCCAUAACGAGCGCAACCCUUAUCGUUAGUUGCUAGCAGGUAAAGCUGAGGACUCUAGCGAGACUGCCACCGUAAGGUGAGAGGAAGGUGGGGAUGACGUCAAAUCAGCACGGCCCUUAUGUCCAGGGCUACACACGUGUUACAAUGGCCGGUACAGAGGGAAGCUACCUGGUGACAGGUUGCCAAUCUUAAAAGCCGGUCUCAGUUCGGAUUGGAGUCUGCAACCCGACUCCAUGAAGUUGGAUUCGCUAGUA